rnacentral:rRNA from 1 species
GAGGAAUAUUGGUCAAUGGGUGCAAGCCUGAACCAGCCAUCCCGCGUGCAGGAAGACGGCGCUAUGCGUUGUAAACUGCUUUUCCAGGGAGAGAAACUUGCGCACGUGUUGCGCAAUUGACGGUACCCUGGGAAUAAGCAUCGGCUAACUCCGUGCCAGCAGCCGCGGUAAUACGGAGGAUGCGAGCGUUAUCCGGAUUCAUUGGGUUUAAAGGGUGCGUAGGCGGACUAUUAAGUCAGUGGUGAAAUCCUGCAGCUUAACUGCAGAACUGCCAUUGAUACUGAUAGCCUUGAGUUUGGUUAAGGUAGGCGGAAUGUGUAAUGUAGCGGUGAAAUGCUUAGAUAUUACGCAGAACACCAAUUGCGUAGGCAGCUUACUGAGCCGACACUGACGCUGAGGCACGAAAGCGUGGGGAUCGAACAG